UUCUCCAUUGGCCACAUCGGAGGCUGCUUUUCCAGGAUGUCCUGCAGCCAUGGAGUUUGACUGCGUGCCGGAAAUUGUAGUUCAGCACGCAAAGCUGUCUACCAGCAGCUCCAGGAUUAAAUCUUCAAUAGAAGAAGAGUUUCUUUCUUCCUAAGAGUUCCAUCAAAAGUCCCAGAAAGACUCUCUGUGGCCAUUCCUAGAUCCCUGCGGGACCCAGAGGUGAAUCACACCCAUGUAAACCAUGUGGGCUGGGAAUGGGAAGGAAUGACUUCUAAGUGAAAAUUGAGAACUAUUGCUAAAAGAACAAGAAUGGAUGCUGGCCAGAGAAGCAAAAACAACGUGUACUGCGGGAUUGUAAAUGAGUGCUACGAACACAGAAAUAAACAAUAAGGACUGAUAAUGUACAAAUAGAAGAUGCAUGACGUCCUGAGGGAGAACAGUGGAGGGAGACCUAAUCGAGCCUUGGACAUGCAGAUGGCAUUGAGAUGAGCUGGGUUAUGUGAGGCUUGAAAGGCGAGUGCAGGGUACCAAGCACUGUUGGAACUCAGGCAUAGUGUUACUUAUCUGCAGGCCUGCCUUGUUGGUCUGGGGCAGCAGCUGCGCCCUUGCCAGGUCCUCCUGCCAAAUCGGCAUCCCCGACUUCUGGACCAGAUGCAUAUUUAGCUCCAUGAUGGAAGACACCGGCUUAUUUUUCAUUCUGUUUGUCUUCACUUGCUGUGCUUCACAUUCAUCUUCUCUUCCCAACCGCCUCUAUGUGGACUUCAGGUGCCACCACCAGACACAAAAACAACUUUACAUCCUUCCUUAGACCUCUUAACCAGCUCCCACAGUCCAAUAAUGUGAGCACUUCCAUUUCCAGCCCAUCCAUCUAUGAUUCCUAUUUAAGCAGAAAAUAAAGGCUUCCUGGGGAAAAAGAAGUGGAUAUGAUAAAUGGAAAAUGGAGUUGGAUAAUAAACAACAAUAUGCAGCCUUCUAUCUAGAGUAGGUCAAAAGAGAAGCUGACAUAUGCUAGCUUUUGACUAUGCCCUGAGGAAUCUGUUGCCAUCAAAAGGGUUAACAAUUUGAAGGGUCGAAAAAUGAAGAAAACUCCUCAACAGCUGUUUUCAAAACAAGAAAAGCCAAAGAUUGACUGCUUUUACUCCACUCCAUCUCUGGUUUUUGCUUCCAUCAAGUUGUCUCAGCUUCAGUGGCAUGAUUAAACAAAAACAACAGCAGCGAAUACAGGAUUUGCCAACCCAAAGAAACAGUGAUCCUUCUUGAGUACCUCUUCUUUACUGUGCUAGACCCUGGACUAGCGAGGAAUAAUUUAGUAUCUUUGAAGGCAAAGCUUCAAGCCUCUUAAAAUGCAAACCGAUGAGUCACUGAGGAAGAGAAGUUUGCUUUACCUUAAGCAGUUUCCACAUCUGAUGCUCUCAAUUUCUCUUCAUGCUCUGUGGCCUUAUUCAGAGUAUUUCCUCUACCCACAAAGUGGCUCAACAUCCGAUGGCAUGAGAGUGUGUCAUCUGUUAAUAAUUUGCUUAAUAAUAUCUCCCCCUAAUGGUAACUAAAGACCUUAAAAAAAAUGAAAAACAAAGUUGUCAGUCUGUGGAAAGAAGAUGGGAAAAUUAAAAUAUAUGCAGAAACGGUGAUGAUCAUAAAGACCAUAUCUAAUUAGCAUGCAGAGGGACUUUGGAGCGACUUUUCAAUAAUGACCAAGUUCCUCUUCUCUUACCAAUCCUUUAAAGCCUAAGCACUUCAUCAAAUACCUUCCCCCAGUCCACCAUAACCACUCCAGACAGAUAAGAUCUUCUCAGUUUGGGAACUCCCAUAGCACUUUGGUCUUGCACCAGAAACACAACUGUGAAUAUUAAAACUCACUGUUAUAGUUACAUGUGCUCUUGCUGUGAUUCCAGAUACAGUGCAAGCUCCUCUCUUAAGGAGUAUGUCUCAUUCAGAUUGGUACUCACAGCUCCUAGUUUAGUUUCUUAGUUACUUAAGAAGCUUUAAUAAUGAUCGUGAAUGUUAGUAAUUCAAAGAGAGAUUAAGUAACUUUUGCUGUCAUAUAGCUGACUAAUGUUAUAACUAAGAACCCACAUUUCUAAUUCUUACACUUACAAGUUCACAGAUACCUACUGUCUUCCUGAAGUAUAACUAAUCAUGCUCAAAAACCAAAUAAAACUUCAAUGGCUCCCCAACACUUAAAGAACUCUGGACUCCCCUUCUAAUCUGUUCAUCCAGUCUUUUCCAUCUCUACCCCAUUCCAUAAAUCAAAACACAGGAAUCAUUCUUGAUUCUUCUCUUUUUCUCGUAUUCUUCAUGAUUAAGUCAUAUCAGAUCUGCUUUCAAAAUAUACCCCAAAUCUGGAUACUUCACGUUACUUCUUCUCUUACCUCCCAAGUCCAAGGAACCAGCACUCAUUACUCAAAUAUUCAUAUAGCCGCCUUGUUAAUUACUGAAAAUUUUCUCUCUGUUUCUAGCCUUACCCAUCUCUAAUCCAUUUUUCACAUAAAAGACCAAUUGGAUUGACUUUUCAAAAACUGUCAAUCAUACCUCAAAAUAUCCCCAUUUAAAAUAUUCCAUUACCUUUCAUUGCAUUUAGGGAAAUACACAAACUCCUAACCAUGACCUAGAAGGUCCUCUAUGAGCUAGCCCCAGUUAAACGUGUAAAUUAAGCCACAUUUGUCUUUGCUUCUUUCAUCCCUCUGCUUAAAUUUCUUCUUUCCCUCCAUUUCACCAUUUUUGGAGGGACUCUGCAGAUAACCAGGUGGGUUGGUACAUAAUUUUAUCUACAUUUCACUUAGGUUGGCCAAGUGCCUCAGAAUGAUCUGAAUAGUUAAUAUAAGAGGUUUCAGCCCAUGAUAUAAAAAAAAAAUUUAAUAAAAAAUUAACUUCCCAAUUAAGCAAAGUGUAUUAUUAUCACGACCUGGCAUGCUUUGGAGACAGACAUUUUCCCUGGAAAAGGCUUUUGCACUUACUUCCUGGGCCAACACCUCAUGUUUCUGGGCCAAUUUGCUAUUUGGAUGUUAAUCUUAUUGACACCUCAAGACAGGUGUCUCUUGCAGAGCAGCCUGGGAAGACAUGACUCCUGCUUCAUAGUUGGUAUUUUCCACCAGCCAGAAUUCAGGACACUGUUAUAUUAUUAUUUUUCUUGAUUCUCAUAGAA